rnacentral:lncRNA from 1 species
CCCCGCUUUAAAAAAGGGGAAGGUAUACUGUUUUACCUCUGUCUGUCAGUCCGUCCGUCCAUCAGUCCGUCCGUCCAUCAGUCCGUCCGUCAGUCAGUCCGUCCCAUGAAACUUUCGUCACAUUUUUCUCAGGAACUACACAUCCACCCUUUCUGUAAUUUGGUAUCAACAUUUAUAUAUGUCAGCCACACCGUGUGAUGCGUUUUCAGAUUCAUCACUUGACAACUUCCUGUUUACCGAACACUUGUCUGAUUUUACACAUGAUAGCCAAGUUGAAAAUUUUCGUCACAUUUUUCUCAGGAACUACAAUACAAGGAUUUCUGAAAUUUGGUUUCAGGAUUUAUAUUAGUCAGCUAUACCGUGUGAUGCGUUUUAAGAUUCAUCACUCGACAACUUCCUGUUUACCGAACACUUGUAUGAUUUUACACAUGAUAGCCAAGUUGAAAAUUUUCGUCACAUUUUUCUCAGGAACUACAAUACAAGGAUUUCUGAAAUUUGGUUUCAGGAUUUUUAUAAGUCAGCUAUACCGUGUGAUGCGUUUUCAGAUUCAUCACUCGACAACUUCCUGUUUACAGAACACUUGCAUAUUUUUACACUAUUAAUAUUAUCCACUUGCGGCGGGGGUAUCAUCAGUGAGCAGUAGCUCGCAGUUUCACUUGUUAUUAAUAUGCUU